rnacentral:lncRNA from 1 species
GGAAAUUGCUUGAUGAUACACCCAAAGUAGAAAGUAUUGGAAGGAAAGGAGGAGGGGAAUUAGUUGGUGUGAAAGAAAUGUAAUGCCGAGAGACAAGGCAAUGGAAUUGAAGUUGAAGUCGUAGUUGAGGUUAAAGGGUGGUGUUAUUAUUGGAGAGAGGUUGUUGUGGAGUGGAGUAUUGAGUGUUGAGUGCAACAUAAGCCACAGACCAAAAGGGCACAACAUGACAGAAAAAGAGAGCCACUUGAAUACCUCUCACGUCAUCACUCUCUCUCUCUCUCACUGUUUAUUUCACUGUUUCUUUCUGCAUUCCUUUUGCUUUUCUGUUGCUUGCCUCUUCCCAAUGCCCCAGUUUCUUUCCCACGCUCUGUCUAAGGAACUCAUUCCCACACGCGCUUCCAAUGCCCACCACGCGCCUCCCGUACCACUGUCUCCAUUUUCACACUUUCUGCCAUUAUUCCAGCCUACUCAUAAUCAUGAUUUAGUGUAAAAAUGAUCAAUACCCAAACUGGCUGCAAAAAUGGGCCUGUAUCGGUGGAUUGGGCCUAGGAGAAUAAUUAAGUAAGCCUGGACCAAUUUGAC